rnacentral:rRNA from 1 species
GAUGAACGCUGGCGGCGUGCCUAAUACAUGCAAGUCGAGCGAACAGACGAGGAGCUUGCUCCUCUGACGUUAGCGGCGGACGGGUGAGUAACACGUGGAUAACCUACCUAUAAGACUGGGAUAACUUCGGGAAACCGGAGCUAAUACCGGAUAAUAUAUUGAACCGCAUGGUUCAAUAGUGAAAGACGGUUUUGCUGUCACUUAUAGAUGGAUCCGCGCCGCAUUAGCUAGUUGGUAAGGUAACGGCUUACCAAGGCAACGAUGCGUAGCCGACCUGAGAGGGUGAUUGGCCACACCGGAACUGGGACACGGUCCAGACCCCUACGGGAGGCAGCAGUAGGGAAUCUUCCGCAAUGGGCGAAAGCCUGACGGAGCAACGCCGCGUGAGUGAUGAAGGUCUUCGGAUCGGAAAACUCUGUUAUUAGGGAAGAACAAAUGUGUAAGUAACUAUGCACGUCUUGACGGUACCUAAUCAGAAAGCCACGGCUAACUACGUG